AGGAUCACACACUACCCAGAAUGCACUUCGUCGAGACAGAUCUUGGUGGCGUUAUGAUGUGGGGAUAUCUCGGCAUCUACAAUUGCAUUUUGCUGUGGGACCUUAUAAAACGGUGUUUGGAUGUUGUAAAGACUAUUUGUCUGUGGCAGUUAGCUACUUUUUUUUCUGAUUCAAAGAUAUGGCUUAGUACAAAGAUGCAGAAAGCGAGGCUGGAAGAGCCAUGCAGCUGAUUUUUAAAAAAGCGUGAAAGAGAACAACUUUCACAGCUAAAGGAGAAAAUUGCUCAUGUCAGUCAACUUUUUAACGUUAGUUAGCUAAGUAACGUUAUUAUUCUUGCAUAUUCAAUGCUUUGCAGUUACUGGGGGUGGAAGAGUAGCCUAGUGGUUAGAGCGUUGGACUAGUAACCGGAAGGUUGCGAGGUCAAAUCCCCGAGCUGACAAGGACAACAUGGUCAAGUCCAACAUCAAUAAAAGUUCAAAGCUCAAUUAUGAUGCGGUGGAAGCAGAGCUCAAAUCCAGCACUGUUGAUAAGUAUUGUAGCUAGAAGUUAAGAAAAAUAAUGGUAUUCUUGUAUGUCAGGCACAUCUUUAUUACUAGAAUGAAUGUUUCAAUACGUGAUUGUGAAGAGCGCAAUCUUAUUGCAAUCGUGUGUUACCUUGUCAGGUCUGGUGACACUCAAUGAUAUGAAGGCCAGGGCAGGAGGCUCUUGUGAAAGAAAGAGAAAAGCAACUGGCCAAGAAAGAGCAAACAAAGGAGUUGAUGCUGAAGCUGGAGAUGAAGAGAAAGGAUGCCAGUUUAUCCUUUAAUCCUGAAGAAGAGGAGGAAGAGUGGUGUUAAUAAUAAAUCAGAUUUCCCUGCCAAGAAAAAGUAGUUAGGGAGGAACCCAGAUGUGGACACCAGUUUCCUGCCAGAACGGAACAGAGAGAUCCGGUGAAAAUAUUGCCUUCGGGAUCAUUCUGGACCCAGAUUUUAUUUUCAUGUUUAACUAUUAAUGUAUUGUCAGAUGCAUUCUCCUUUCAGAUGAAUACAUUGCAUUAACUUUAAAACAUUAGGUUACUCUUCAUUGUUACUCCUCUACCUUUUUUAAUUGAAAUUCCCCAAAGUGUUGUUUCCUAAAUCAUGAAACCAUAGUGAUCUCUUCACCAAUAACAUAACAGUCCUGUUGAAGAAAUAUUCCCAUUUGAAUUCCUAUGAAAAUGUGAUCCUAUUUUCUUUAUACAAAUAAACCUACACUUGGAUGCUGUCCACUUUGUUGAAAUAAAUUAGAUUAUAUCAA